rnacentral:rRNA from 1 species
AUUGAACGCUGGCGGCAGGCCUAACACAUGCAAGUCGAACGAGUGGCGGACGGGUGAGUAAUACCUGGGAAUCUACCCUGUAGGGGGGGAUAACGUAGGGAAACUUUCGCUAAUACCGCAUACCAUCGGAUGAGCCCAUGUGGGAUUAGCUAGUUGGUGGGGUAACGGCGCACCAAGGCGACGAUCCCUAGCUGGUCUGAGAGGAUGACCAGCCACACUGGAACUGAGACACGGUCCAGACUCCUACGGGAGGCAGCAGUGGGGAAUAUUGGACAAUGGGCGCAAGCCUGAUGCAGCCAUGCCGCGUGUGUGAAGAAGGCCUUCGGGUUGUAAAGCACUUUCAGCGGGGAAGCGUUACCCGCAGAAGAAGCACCGGCUAACUCCGUGCCAGCAGCCGCGGUAAUAC